AAGUUAUGGUUAACGUGGUUAAAGAAAUUUCUUAAAAGAUUGAGUUUUCCAAAAACUAGAAACCUUUUAUUUUAUUUUAUUUUAUUUUAUUUUUUUUUUUUUUUUUUUUAAGGAUCUCAAAAGAAGGAGGAAAUUCUGCCAGGUGAUACAACAUGGAUGAACCCUGAAGACAUCAUGCUGAAUGAAAUAAACCAGUCACAAAGGGACAAAUAUUCAGGGACACAAGUGGCAGAUCUUGGGAGACCCCCUCCUUCCUACUCUGGGAAGAGAAGCAUGGGAGCAUGCAGCAGGAAUCUACUGGGUAUGGAGACUCCAAA
rnacentral:lncRNA from 1 species